AAUCCAUAGGUUAAUGAGGCGAACCGGGGGAACUGAAACAUCUAAGUACCCCGAGGAAAAGAAAUCAACCGAGAUUCCCCCAGUAGCGGCGAGCGAACGGGGAGGAGCCCAGAGCCUGAAUCAGCAUGUGUGUUAGUGGAAGCGUCUGGAAAGGCGCGCGAUACAGGGUGACAGCCCCGUACACAAAAGCGCAUGUGCUGUGAGCUCGAUGAGUAGGGCGGGACACGUGGUAUCCUGUCUGAAUAUGGGGGGACCAUCCUCCAAGGCUAAAUACUCCUGACUGACCGAUAGUGAACCAGUACCGUGAGGGAAAGGCGAAAAGAACCCCGGCGAGGGGAGUGAAAAAGAACCUGAAACCGUGUACGUACAAGCAGUGGGAGCACCCUUUGGGUGUGACUGCGUACCUUUUGUAUAAUGGGUCAGCGACUUAUAUUCUGUAGCAAGGUUAACCGAAUAGGGGAGCCGGAGGGAAACCGAGUCUUAAUUGGGCGUUAAGUUGCAGGGUAUAGACCCGAAACCCGGUGAUCUAGCCAUGGGCAGGUUGAAGGUUGGGUAACACUAACUGGAGGACCGAACCGACUAAUGUUGAAAAAUUAGCGGAUGACCUGUGGCUGGGGGUGAAAGGCCAAUCAAACCGGGAGAUAGCUGGUUCUCCCCGAAAGCUAUUUAGGUAGCGCCUCGUGAAUUCAUCUCCGGGGGUAGAGCACUGUUUCGGCUAGGGGGCCAUCCCGGCUUACCAACCCGAUGCAAACUGCGAAUACCGGAGAAUGUUAUCACGGGAGACACACGGCGGGUGCUAACGUCCGUCGUGAAGAGGGAAACAACCCAGACCGCCAGCUAAGGUCCCAAAGUCAUGGUUAAGUGGGAAACGAUGUGGGAAGGCCCAGACAGCCAGGAUGUUGGCUUAGAAGCAGCCAUCAUUUAAAGAAAGCGUAAUAGCUCACUGGUCGAGUCGGCCUGCGCGGAAGAUGUAACGGGGCUAAACCAUG
rnacentral:rRNA from 3 species